GGUUAAGCGACUAAGCGUACACGGUGGAUGCCCUGGCAGUCAGAGGCGAUGAAGGACGUGCUAAUCUGCGAUAAGCGUCGGUAAGGUGAUAUGAACCGUUAUAACCGGCGAUUUCCGAAUGGGGAAACCCAGUGUGAUUCGUCACACUAUCAUUAACUGAAUCCAUAGGUUAAUGAGGCGAACCGGGGGAACUGAAACAUCUAAGUACCCCGAGGAAAAGAAAUCAACCGAGAUUCCCCCAGUAGCGGCGAGCGAACGGGGAGGAGCCCAGAGCCUGAAUCAGUGUGUGUGUUAGUGGAAGCGUCUGGAAAGGCGCGCGAUACAGGGUGACAGCCCCGUACACAAAAAUGCACAUGCUGUGAGCUCGAUGAGUAGGGCGGGACACGUGGUAUCCUGUCUGAAUAUGGGGGGACCAUCCUCCAAGGCUAAAUACUCCUGACUGACCGAUAGUGAACCAGUACCGUGAGGGAAAGGCGAAAAGAACCCCGGCGAGGGGAGUGAAAAAGAACCUGAAACCGUGUACGUACAAGCAGUGGGAGCACAGAGCAAUCUGUGUGACUGCGUACCUUUUGUAUAAUGGGUCAGCGACUUAUAUUCUGUAGCAAGGUUAACCGAAUAGGGGAGCCGAAGGGAAACCGAGUCUUAACUGGGCGUUAAGUUGCAGGGUAUAGACCCGAAACCCGGUGAUCUAGCCAUGGGCAGGUUGAAGGUUGGGUAACACUAACUGGAGGACCGAACCGACUAAUGUUGAAAAAUUAGCGGAUGACUUGUGGCUGGGGGUGAAAGGCCAAUCAAACCGGGAGAUAGCUGGUUCUCCCCGAAAGCUAUUUAGGUAGCGCCUCGUGAAUUCAUCUCCGGGGGUAGAGCACUGUUUCGGCAAGGGGGUCAUCCCGACUUACCAACCCGAUGCAAACUGCGAAUACCGGAGAAUGUUAUCACGGGAGACACACGGCGGGUGCUAACGUCCGUCGUGAAGAGGGAAACAACCCAGACCGCCAGCUAAGGUCCCAAAGUCAUGGUUAAGUGGGAAACGAUGUGGGAAGGCCCAGACAGCCAGGAUGUUGGCUUAGAAGCAGCCAUCAUUUAAAGAAAGCGUAAUAGCUCACUGGUCGAGUCGGCCUGCGCGGAAGAUGUAACGGGGCUAAACCAUGCACCGAAGCUGCGGCAGCGACACUAUGUGUUGUUGGGUAGGGGAGCGUUCUGUAAGCCUGUGAAGGUGUGCUGUGAGGCAUGCUGGAGGUAUCAGAAGUGCGAAUGCUGACAUAAGUAACGAUAAAGCGGGUGAAAAGCCCGCUCGCCGGAAGACCAAGGGUUCCUGUCCAACGUUAAUCGGGGCAGGGUGAGUCGACCCCUAAGGCGAGGCCGAAAGGCGUAGUCGAUGGGAAACAGGUUAAUAUUCCUGUACUUGGUGUUACUGCGAAGGGGGGACGGAGAAGGCUAUGUUGGCCGGGCGACGGUUGUCCCGGUUUAAGCGUGUAGGCUGGUUUUCCAGGCAAAUCCGGAAAAUCAAGGCUGAGGCGUGAUGACGAGGCACUACGGUGCUGAAGCAACAAAUGCCCUGCUUCCAGGAAAAGCCUCUAAGCAUCAGGUAACAUCAAAUCGUACCCCAAACCGACACAGGUGGUCAGGUAGAGAAUACCAAGGCGCUUGAGAGAACUCGGGUGAAGGAACUAGGCAAAAUGGUGCCGUAACUUCGGGAGAAGGCACGCUGAUAUGUAGGUGAAGUCCCUCGCGGAUGGAGCUGAAAUCAGUCGAAGAUACCAGCUGGCUGCAACUGUUUAUUAAAAACACAGCACUGUGCAAACACGAAAGUGGACGUAUACGGUGUGACGCCUGCCCGGUGCCGGAAGGUUAAUUGAUGGGGUCAGCGCAAGCGAAGCUCUUGAUCGAAGCCCCGGUAAACGGCGGCCGUAACUAUAACGGUCCUAAGGUAGCGAAAUUCCUUGUCGGGUAAGUUCCGACCUGCACGAAUGGCGUAAUGAUGGCCAGGCUGUCUCCACCCGAGACUCAGUGAAAUUGAACUCGCUGUGAAGAUGCAGUGUACCCGCGGCAAGACGGAAAGACCCCGUGAACCUUUACUAUAGCUUGACACUGAACAUUGAGCCUUGAUGUGUAGGAUAGGUGGGAGGCUUUGAAGUGUGGACGCCAGUCUGCAUGGAGCCGACCUUGAAAUACCACCCUUUAAUGUUUGAUGUUCUAACGUUGACCCGUGAUCCGGGUUGCGGACAGUGUCUGGUGGGUAGUUUGACUGGGGCGGUCUCCUCCUAAAGAGUAACGGAGGAGCACGAAGGUUGGCUAAUCCUGGUCGGACAUCAGGAGGUUAGUGCAAUGGCAUAAGCCAGCUUGACUGCGAGCGUGACGGCGCGAGCAGGUGCGAAAGCAGGUCAUAGUGAUCCGGUGGUUCUGAAUGGAAGGGCCAUCGCUCAACGGAUAAAAGGUACUCCGGGGAUAACAGGCUGAUACCGCCCAAGAGUUCAUAUCGACGGCGGUGUUUGGCACCUCGAUGUCGGCUCAUCACAUCCUGGGGCUGAAGUAGGUCCCAAGGGUAUGGCUGUUCGCCAUUUAAAGUGGUACGCGAGCUGGGUUUAGAACGUCGUGAGACAGUUCGGUCCCUAUCUGCCGUGGGCGCUGGAGAACUGAGGGGGGCUGCUCCUAGUACGAGAGGACCGGAGUGGACGCAUCACUGGUGUUCGGGUUGUCAUGCCAAUGGCACUGCCCGGUAGCUAAAUGCGGAAGAGAUAAGUGCUGAAAGCAUCUAAGCACGAAACUUGCCCCGAGAUGAGUUCUCCCUGACUCCUUGAGAGUCCUGAAGGAACGUUGAAGACGACGACGUUGAUAGGCCGGGUGUGUAAGCGCAGCGAUGCGUUGAGCUAACCGGUACUAAUGAACCGUGAGGCUUAACCUU
rnacentral:rRNA from 1 species